rnacentral:rRNA from 1 species
AGUGAACGCUGGCGGUAGGCCUAACACAUGCAAGUCGAACGGCAGCACAGUAAGAGCUUGCUCUUACGGGUGGCGAGUGGCGGACGGGUGCGGAAUACAUCGGAAUCUUCUUUUUCGUGGGGGAUAACGUAGGGAAACUUACGCUAAUACCGCAUACGACCUACGGGUGAAAGCAGGGGAUCUUCGGACCUUGCGCGAUUGAAUGAGCCGAUGUCGGAUUAGCUAGUUGGCGGGGUAAAGGCCCACCAAGGCGACGAUCCGUAGCUGGUCUGAGAGGAUGAUCAGCCACACUGGAACUGAGACACGGUCCAGACUCCUACGGGAGGCAGCAGUGGGGAAUAUUGGACGAUGGGCGCAAGCCUGAUCCAGCCAUACCGCGUGGGUGAAGAAGGCCUUCGGGUUGUAAAGCCCUUUUGUUGGGAAAGAAGAGCAGCAGGUUAACACCCCGCUGUUCUGACGGUACCCAAAGAAUAAGCACCGGCUAACUUCGUG